GCUUUCUAGUGUCUGUGGUGUCGGCGCUGCAGGAUGACGCGAGCCUCUCGCGUCCCUGGUUUUCUCGGUCGCAGCGUUGAGUUAUUGGGUGGAAAGGCAUCACCUUAGAGUCAACCUUCUUUGAAACCACUGUCUCAGAGAAAUCCCUCCAAGACACAGGUAAUUAGAGAGGGUAUGUGAACCAAGGAGCCAAUCAAAUUCUCCCACAUAAGAAUUUGGGACACAGAAGAUGAAGCUGAGGACCACAAGGAUUUAGAUACUGAUGCUUAGGUAUCAACAAUGGGCUUAAAAUAUUCAGUAAAUUGGAUCUGCUGACCAUAUGGCCAAACAGGAACAGCUCCAGUCUGCAGCUCCCAGCGAGAUCGACAUAGAAGAAAGGAAAAAGGAAGAAGCAGAGGGUCAGCAGAUGUUGAAAGAGGUAUAAUCAAGCUCAUACUCCAUUAAACAGAAAGCAAACUAAGAGCUGGAGAGAUGAAGAGACUUGGUCAACAUCAUACAUUUAUUAUCAGAAAAAGCCACACAUGACCUUAU
rnacentral:lncRNA from 1 species